UACGUAGGGUGCAAGCGUUGUCCGGAGUUAUUGGGCGUAAAGAGCUCGUGAGCGGUCUGUCGCGUCUGCUGUGAAAACUCAGGCUUAACCCUGAGCUUGCAGUGGGUACGGGCAGACUAGAGUGCGGUAGGGAGACUGGAAUUCCUGGUGAUAGCGGUGAAAUGCGCAGAUAUCGAGGAGGAACACCGGUGGGCGAAGGCGGGUCUCUGGGC
rnacentral:rRNA from 1 species